GUCGGACUUACAACUGUUGGA
rnacentral:snRNA from 1 species